rnacentral:rRNA from 1 species
GAUAAACGCUGGCGGCGUGCUUAACACAUGCAAGUCGAACGGGGUUAUUUCGAGAAGCUUGCUUCAUGAAAUAACCUAGUGGCGGACGGGUGAGUAACGCGUGAGUAACCUGCCUUUGAGAGGGGAAUAACGUUCUGAAAAGAACGCUAAUACCGCAUAACAUAUAUUGAUCGCAUGGUCGGUAUAUCAAAGAUUUUAUCGCUCAAAGAUGGACUCGCGUCCGAUUAGCUUGUUGGCGGGGUAACGGCCCACCAAGGCGACGAUCGGUAGCCGGACUGAGAGGUUGAACGGCCACAUUGGGACUGAGACACGGCCCAGACUCC